GUACCGUCAGGCCUAACGUGUAUUAUACGUUAGGAGGUUCUUCCCCUCUGACAGAGCUUUACGACCCAAGAGCCUUCAUCACUCACGCGGUAUUGCUGCGUCAGGCUUUCGCCCAUUGCGCAAAAUUCCCCAC
rnacentral:rRNA from 1 species